rnacentral:lncRNA from 1 species
GUUAUCGCACCGGGUGGGAGGCGGGGGCGGUACUCCACAGAGAGGGAUGGCCACCCAAAUUCCUUUGGGUGAGCUGCUGGAACCAGUCAGUCUGGUCUGGCAGAGAGUAAGGGCUAAAGGGAGCGGCCCAGCCACCGCAGUGUCCCAACACCUAGCCUGAGCCUGCUGUAUCCCACGUCUGCACGGAUCCCUCUGAGGCUAGGGCCCGGGUUCACUCUAGGACAGCGGAUGCUAAAUGUGAUGCGUCGCUUCGCCUCCGCGCAGGACAGCGACACUUGCUCUGCCAACUAGAUGGCAGACAUGGGGGUUCCGCUUUGGUUUGGUACCCUAUUUCUCCAGGCUAACCUCCACAUUCUGCUCAAGUGCGCGACCAAUCGAGGCUCCAUUUCAUAAGUGUUUUCUCGUAAGAGUCCUACUGUGAUGUAGGAGGUGCUAGUCUCAUUUAGCUGUUGGGCAAUAUUAAUCUUGGUGGUGAGACUGUUAAGCAACUUCCCUAAACCCAUAUUUAUGAGCACAUCGGUCUUCUUGCCAUUGGCUGUACAAGCCACUCACCAAUUACAUCAAGCUUAAAGCUUCCUGUUCCCUCACUUUUGCAAAGUCAAGUGUGCUGUUGUGGAACACUAACAAGUCAUUACAAUAGCUGGGAAGCUGAUCUUCCACAAUAAUCUAGAGGCAAGGCUUUAGUUUCUCCCCCACAAAAAUGCAUCUCACG